rnacentral:rRNA from 1 species
CCCCUAGAUGUUCUGGGCCGCACGCGCGCUACACUGAACAGUUCAACAAGUCUUAACCUUGGCCGAUAGGUCUGGGUAAUCUUUGAACGCUGUUCGUGAUUGGGAUAGACCUUUGCAAUUAUGGGUCUUCAACGAGGAAUUCCUAGUAAACGCAAGUCAUCAGCUUGCAUUGAUUACGUCCCUGCCCUUUGUACACACCGCCCGUCGCACCUACCGAUUGAAUGGUCCGGUGAAGCCUCCGGAUUGGCGCGCACCCCGGUGCCGCCGAGAAGUUGGCUAAACCUUACCAUUUAGAGGAAGGUGAAGUCGUANCA